GGCGCGGUGGCUGAGUGGUAAAGCGCUUAGCUUUAGAACCAGGGGUCCCGGGUUCAAAUCCUGGUGGAGACU
rnacentral:tRNA from 1 species